AGCUGCAUGCGCGCAGUCUGAUGCAGCCAUGCCGCGUGAGUGAUGAAGGCCUUCGGGUUGUAAAGCUCUUUCUUUAGGGAAGAAAAUGUCGGUACUUGUAACGUAAUGACCGGACCUUUCCUUGCCAGAACGCCCAAUUUUAUGUCAUGCCCCGCGCCGCUAUAAUAA
rnacentral:rRNA from 1 species